rnacentral:tRNA from 1 species
GAUACAUAGCUCAGUUGGUAGAGUGCUUGCCUCAUCUGCACAAGGCCCUGGGUUCAAUCCCCAGCACCA